GGGGGUAUAGCUCAGCGGUAGAGCGUUCGACUACCAAUCGAAAGGUCCCGGUUAAAAUCCGGGUACCCCCG